CUGGGAGCCAUUAGCCAAGUAGGUAUGACAAUUUCCUUGCCAGCGUACCCCAUGUUGCUGACAUGUUGCAGUGACAUUGAAUGUACGUGACCUUGCUCAAGGACCAAGGCAGAUUAGGGUGUUCCCGGUUUUAAGAUAAUCCUGUUUAGGGCGUUCCCAGUUUAGGUUCCAGGUUUAAGGUUUAAGAUUAUUCCUGCUGGGAAGAGGGCGUAUCCUGCUGCCUGAGUUCCCCUUGAGUUCUCACGGGAUUCAGACAGUAUUUUGGGAGAUAGAAGCCCAGUGGAGGUGAAUUUGGGCAGAGAACGUGGAUUUGGGCAGAGAACGUGGAUUUUGGGCAGAGAACGUGGAUUUCUCCAGAACGUGAUUGUAGACGGCUGGUGUGAGUUCGGGAAUAAAGAGUUG
rnacentral:lncRNA from 1 species